UUGUCUUUCAUGUUGGUGAGUCCUUGUCUUAUAAAGGUCACCUGCUGUGAGGUUUUUGACAUUUGUUUGGUAUUAACAGCUGUAAAAACCACCACUGCCAUGUGUUUGUAGUUUGCUACUAGCUGCUGCCCCCAGCUAGUUAACGGUGCAUUUAGCUGGUGUGUUUUACUGGAAUGAGCACCAGAGCCAAAGUCAGGCGAGCUGGCAACAGACCUGGGCUCAGCAGCCUUUCGGUGACCACGGCCGGGACUGAACACAACCUUCAAGACUGUGAGAGAGGCCAUGUGAUUUACAGCGGCUCAACCUGGACACUGACUCCAGGGACAAAGAAGACACAGUGGGUUCGUGCAGGGACAGGAGGGGUGUGAAUCAAGAGGAGCGAGUUGAUUUUGUGUAGGAUUUCGUGGCAUCUAGUGGUGGAGCUGCAGAUUGCAAUUUACUGAACACAGCUCGCAUCUUUAUUUGACGACCUGGAAAUGAGAACGGGCUUUGUGUAAGUGUGUGGGAGAAACUACGAAGGCCACAAAACUCGCAAAAGUCUACAGCCAGUGUUUGGUUUGUCCGUCCACCAGAAACAUGGUGGACUCCAUUGAAGCACACCUGUCAGCAAUUGGCUCAUCACCUCUCUCCCAGUCUUCCAACUCAUCAACUCAGCUGUACCUACUCCGGUUCUCCAUCCCCUCAGGGCCAGAUUUUUUCUUCAAUCUCAGUGGAUCCCAG